rnacentral:rRNA from 1 species
UACGGGGGGAGCAAGCGUUGUUCGGAUUUACUGGGCGUAAAGGGCGCGUAGGCGGUCAGCACAAGUCAGUUGUGAAAUCUCCGGGCUUAACUCGGAAAGGUCAACUGAUACUGUGCGACUAGAGUGCAGAAGGGGCAACUGGAAUUCUCGGUGUAGCGGUGAAAUGCGUAGAUAUCGAGAGGAACACCUGCGGCGAAGGCGGGUUGCUGGGCUGACACUGACGCUGAGGAGCGAAAGCUAGGGGAGCGAACGGG